GAUGAAGAACGUAGCGAAAUGCGAUACGUAAUGUGAAUUGCAGAAUUCAGUGAAUCAUCGAAUCUUUGAACGCAUAUUGCGCUCUCUGGUAUUCCGGAGAGCAUGCUUGUUUGAGUAUCAGUAAACACCUCAACUUCCAUAUCUUUUUUGAAAUGGGAGUUGGACUUGAGUGAUCCCAACGCUUUUCCUCACCGAAAAGUGGCGGGUUACUUGAAAUGCAGGUGCAGCUGGACUUUUCUCUGUGCUAUAAGCAUAUCUAUUUAGUCUGUCUAAAAAACAGAUUAUUACCUUUGCUGCAGCUAACAUAAAGGAGAUUAGUUCUUGUGCUGACUGAUGCAGGAUUCACAAAGACAGGCUUCGGCCGACUUUGUAAACUCGAUCUCAAAUCAAGUAAGACUACCCGCUGAACUUAAGCAUAUCAAUAAGCGGAGGA
rnacentral:misc_RNA from 1 species